AUGGCCUUCAUUUUUAUGUGCUCACAUUUCUUAGUUUCUGGCUUUUCAAAAUGGACACAUAGUUCAUUAAUUCAGUCUUUUUUUUCCAUAAAAGCAAGCUUUUAAAAAUAUUUUUAAUUCUGUUCAGCUCAUUUGUCCAUUUGUAAAUGAAAUUAUUUAUUUAUUAAUCCCUUGUGGAAUAGUUUGCAAAUAUUUUCUUCCACUCUGCAGGUUGUCUCUUCACUCUGUUGCUUGUUUACAGGCUGGAGUGCAGUGGCUCGAUGUCGGCUCACUCCAACCUCUGCCUCCUGAGCUCAAGUGAUUCUCAUGCCUUAGCCUCCUGAAUAGCCGGAAUUAUAGUUGUGCAUCACCAUGUCUGCCUAAUUUUUGUAUUUUUAGUAGACACAGGGUUUCACCAUGUUGGCCAGGCCUGUCUCAACUCCUGACCCCAAGUCAUCCGCCUGCCUUGGCUUUCCAAAGUGCUGGGAUUACAGGCCUGAGCCACCACACCUGGCCUCGUUCAGUGUUUUGCAGUAUUUAAUGGUAUCCCA
rnacentral:lncRNA from 1 species